GGGCCCGCACAAGCGGAGGAGCAUGUGGUUUAAUUCGACGAUACGCGAGGAACCUUACCUGGGCUCGAACGGUUAAUGAAUAAUAAAGAGAUUUAUUAGACUGCAAAGACAUUAAUCGAGGUGCUGCAUGGUUGUCGUCAGCUCGUGCCGUGAGGUGUUAGGUUAAGUCCUGCAACGAGCGCAACCCUUACUUUCAGUUACCAUCAAGUAAUGUUGGGGACUCUGGAAGAACUGCCGGCGCAAGCCGAGAGGAAGGUGGGGAUGACGUCAAAUCAGCACGGCCCUUAUGUCCAGGGCUACGACACGUGCUACAAUGGUCGAAACAGAGGGCAGCUACUUGGCAACAAGAUGCGAAUCUACGAAACUCGAUCUCAGUUCGGAUCGGAGUCUGUAACUCGACUCCGUGAAGUUGGAUUCGCUAGUAAUCGCGCAUCAGCCAUGGCG
rnacentral:rRNA from 1 species